rnacentral:rRNA from 1 species
UACGUAGGGGGGCGAGCGUUUGUCCGGAUUUAUUGGGCGUAAAGAGCUCGUAGGCGGCUCGUCGCGUCGACCGUGAAAACCCGCGGCUUUAACUGCGGGCUUGCGGUUGAUACGGGCGGGCUAGAGUUCGGUAGGGGAGACUGGAAUUCCUGGUGUAGCGGUGAAAUGCGCAGAUAUCAGGAGGAACACCGGUGGCGAAGGCGGAUCUCUGGGCCAUUACUGACGCUGAGGAGCGAAAGCGUGGGGGAGCGAACAGG